rnacentral:rRNA from 1 species
AUUGAACGCUGGCGGCAUGCUUUACACAUGCAAGUCGAGCGGCAGCGCGGGGGCAACCCUGGCGGCGAGCGGCGAACGGGUGAGGAAACCAUCGGAACGUGCCCGAGAGUGGGGGGAUAACGCCGCGAAAGCGGCGCUAAUACCGCAUAUUCUCUGAGGAGGAAAGUGGGGGACCGCAAGGCCUCACGCUCCCGGAGCGGCCGAUGUCGGAUUAGCUAGUUGGUGGGGUAAAGGCUUACCAAGGCGACGAUCCGUAGCUGGUCUGAGAGGAUGAUCAGCCACACUGGGACUGAGACACGGCCCAGACUCCUACGGGAGGCAGCAGUGGGGAAUUUUGGACAAUGGGCGCAAGCCUGAUCCAGCCAUGCCGCGUGCGGGAAGAA